rnacentral:rRNA from 1 species
UACGAAGGGGGCUAGCGUUGCUCGGAAUCACUGGGCGUAAAGCGCACGUAGGCGGAUCUUUAAGUCAGGGGGUGAAAUCCCAAGGCUCAACCUUGGAACUGCCUUUGAUACUGGGGAUCUCGAGUCCGGAAGAGGUUGGUGGAACUGCGAGUGUAGAGGUGAAAUUCGUAGAUAUUCGCAAGAACACCAGUGGCGAAGGCGGCCAACUGGUCCGGUACUGACGCUGAGGUGCGAAAGCGUGGGGAGCAAACAGGG